GGCCCCGGCGCCGCCAGCCCGGGAGCUGCGCCCAGGAGCGCAGCCGGAGGUAGGCCGGAGCCGGACUCCCAGGCUCCUGGCUUGGGAAGGCUGAGGGGGUAGUGACAGGUGUCUAGGGGUCUGACUGACCGAGGUGGCAGCGAAGUGAAGCUGUCCCGGAUGCCCGGAGUCGCCCCGGGUCGAAGCCAGCUAGGCUCACCCCUGUUGAGCCCCUGCCAGCCAAUGUAGCCUCUGGGGGACCUCCUGGGGGAGGAGCAGUAGCGGACCUGGUCCUCGGUGUCCCCAAGGGGCCUCCCAAUUGGCUCCCCUCCCCUGCCACAGAGAAUUCAGGUCGUCCUCGAUCGCUUCCCAGAACGAUUGCACCACUGUCGCUGCCGCCGGCCUGGCACUGCCUCAGCCUCACAGUGCUGGCAGCUUUGGGAGAAGAACCCUGCACCGGUCCCACAGACCAGAGGCAAGAAGGCUGCUUUCCUCCAGCCCCAUGGUGGACCUGGGCCCCUCAGACAUGAGGGACCCUCCUGCGCAUGAUGCCCUCUGCAUGUCUCUGGUAUAGGUCUGAUCACAGAUCCCUCCUUUCCCUUGGGUGAUGAGGUCGAAAACAGCCAAUCCCUUCUGGGGAGCCUGCCUCCUGCACACUGAGUGUGGCCUUAUUUUACCUCCAACAAGCCAGUUCAUUUUAUCAUAA